CGCAACUGUGCUUGGCCACCCUGGGGGGCCCUGGUUGAAAUGUAAACAUGCGAGGAAAGUGAAUUGAAAUUAAAAUCAUGCAAUUCAUAAAAAAAAAAUAAUAGUAGGGGCGAAAUUCUUACGUUCUUCGUGUCAAAAGUGUUGAGGAAUCUAAUCGAUUUUUCCCCAGUCCUUUGCCCAGAGUGAAACCGUAUUUUCUCAGAAGUUGGCCCACGAUGCUGCUGGAGUAGAAGGAUUCUUGUGCAGGUGAACCCGCUGCUGGCACUGGAUUGGUCGUCUUUUUCCUCUUUGGGGUCCAGUUGUGUCCAAGUAUCAAGGAGAGUGAGAUCUAUAUCGACUUCCUUAGACUCUUUCUUCGAUUUUAAUUUGGACUUUUCUUUUCUAGAUUCUUCGACUGGCUGUUGUUCGGUGGUAGAAGGAGCUUGAGUUACCUCUGGAUUCGACGAUAGUGAUUUCUGCUUCUUUGGCUGGUUUUUCUUCUGGUUUUGCAGGAAGUGGUUCGUCGUAUUUUUCUUGGAUCCUUGCGACAACUUCUUUCUUCGAAGAGUGCUCCUGUUUACAUUGUAGUUCGGCGAAGGGAAUAAUGAUGUCUUUAAAUUCCAGAAGUCGAUUUAUGUAAUCUGAAGUGCCACCGUAUGUUAUAAAAAAUUAGGUACAGAGAAUUCCUGUAUGUUCGAUGGGAAAUGUGCUGCUAACGACGUGGAAGUUGACAGGGUAACCAAAUAUGGAUGAACGAAGAAGUCCCAGUGUUGGAGUGAAAUCAUGUGUAAUACCAGAGAGUUUUAUGAUUACUGUGGUGUCGAUAAUUGCCUGAGGACUAACUGCUGUUUGUUUUAUUAAAUUUACCUCAGAGCCAGUGUCCAGCAUGAAGCGAGCUGAUCAAAUUACUCCAUUUGGUCGAAGGAUUGCUGAAGGAACUCUACAAGUGAUUGGGUUGCUGAUUCUGGCAACUCUAGGGGUUCGGACUCGUCGUUCUGCGUGCAGAUUGGAUGGAUUUUGGUGUUUGUCGUCUCACGAGGGGCAUCCUGGAUCAGUUGUGGAAUUGGUCCAUUUCCCUGAUUCCUGGUUUUAAGGUUUGUUUCUUGUCGACUCCUGUCAAAUUGUCUCCUCCUGCAUUCGGCUUCGAAAUGUUCCAGUCGAUUGCAAUAAUGACAUAUGAUUGGUGGUGGUUUCGUGGGUGGUUGAUAAUUGUCUAUUAUUCACUGGUUGAUUUCUUCUUUCAAGUGGUACUUGUGUAAAUUUACUGCAGAACCUCGCAGUGUGGUUAGGUUCCCCAUAAAGUUGACAGGUGAGUUUUACAACAUUAUUAUUACUAUCACCGAACCUGAGUUUGUGUCUGGCGAUUUCACUUUCAACUUGCACUGCACAAUCGUACGUUUCUUCCAGAGGUCAAAGAUUUUGGAACUGAAUUCUCAGUCGCAUAUCUGGAGGUAAGCCGUAGAUGAAAUUUUUUGCAGCGAAACUGUCGAUGAUUCUUUUUCCUGUUGCAGAUGGUUUCUCCUCCUUGAUGAUGUAUUCGUAGGGAUCCUUAACACGCGCAGUGUAAUUCAAUAUGUUUU